rnacentral:lncRNA from 1 species
UUUUUUUAAGACAGAUUUGCUUCCGAAAUGUCUAAAUUGCGUAGAUAAGAUGCCUUUGAAAGGAAAAAUAAAACAAUUGAAAGAUAAGAGUUAAAAAAAAAAACGAAUAAAUGUAAUCUUUUCCUGAAAUAGAUCACAUAGAACUGCACAACAAUUAGUGCGAUGAAAACGUAACGAUCCUCGACAUUUCUGAUCAAGUUUGUGUGAGAAUAGUAUUUGCAAUUAGCAAAUACAAGAUGUUAUUUAGUGACCUUCUGAGACAUUGGAUUUUUCUGCCGGUGAUUGAUAUCUUUUGUCCAAUUUUCUGCUUCCUCAAUUGCAGCGAAAUUUCCUUUACUUGUUUUGGUUUCUUGCCUUUUAACUCGUUCUACGUGAAUAAUGCUUUUGUAAAGAUUCAAAACGUCGACUAUGUUUGUAAAAUUUAACUUUCUGACGACUAUAAACUUUAAUAAAAAUCAUAAAGCGCUGGAUGUUUUUAGAAGAUGCUUUUUGAAUUCAUAAAUAAUUUUCUUCACUAUUUGCUAUUUCGAGGAGUAUUUAUAUUUCAUAUACUGUUAGUACAACUUAAAAAAUUUUUAAAUUUACUAAAGAUAAACUUGAAAAACACUGAUCGCAUUAUAAUCGGACUAAUACGGUUCCUUUCUACCACCCUUCUCUUUAUCCAUUAUUUGUCGCCAUUUGCCUGUUGCGGAUGCAUGAUUGAGCAAAAUAAUAAUAGUUUUUAAAAGAAUAAAUACAGCUCCAUAUAUGUAGUGUGAAUUAUCGAUUUCAUUUGUAAUUUAUAUUUAUAAAAAUGCAUAUUUUUAUUAAUAUAUAUUUAGUUUGUCCAUAUUUUUAAAUAAAUACUUGUUGUUUGAUUGAAUUAAUAUACAUCGCCUUUCUCGAGCUGAAUGUUUAUUAUUAUUAUUUUUUGUCAACAGAUGACUCCACUUUCCACUCAGUAAGAGUACUAAGUGGCGGGGCGAAA